rnacentral:misc_RNA from 1 species
UAGUUUUGGCUGUUCUCACAUUUGGUGUGUCUACUCGUUGGAUGCUUUAUACAGAACAAGCACCGUCAGCAUGGUUUAACUUUGCCUUGUGUGGAUUGGUUGGUAUCAUCACAGCAUAUGUUUUUGUCUGGAUCACCAAAUACUAUACUGACUACAAGCAUGAGCCUGUACGCACGUUAGCUCAUGCUAGCUCCACUGGUCAUGGUACUAACAUAAUUGCUGGAGUUAGUUUGGGUCUGGAAUCGACUGCUCUUCCAGUCCUUGUCAUUAGUAUAUCUAUUGUCUCAGCUUUUUGGUUGGGUCACACCUCGGGUCUGGUCGAUGAAGCUGGAAAGCCAACUGGUGGGUUGUUUGGCACUGCUGUGGCGACAAUGGGAAUGCUCAGUACUGCUGCCUACGUUCUUACGAUGGAUAUGUUUGGUCCCAUAGCUGACAAUGCUGGUGGAAUUGUAGAAAUGAGUCAGCAGCCAGAAAGUGUUAGGGAGAUUACUGAUGUUCUUGAUGCGGUUGGAAACACAACGAAAGCUACAACCAAAGGUUUUGCCAUUGG